UACGAAGGGGGCUAGCGUUGCUCGGAAUCACUGGGCGUAAAGCGCACGUAGGCGGAUUGUUAAGUCAGGGGUGAAAUCCUGGAGCUCAACUCCAGAACUGCCUUUGAUACUGGCGAUCUUGAGUCCGGGAGAGGUGAGUGGAACUGCGAGUGUAGAGGUGAAAUUCGUAGAUAUUCGCAAGAACACCAGUCGCGAAGGCGGCUCACUGGCCCGGUACUGACGCUGAGGUGCGAAAGCGUGGGGAGCAAACAGG
rnacentral:rRNA from 1 species